UGUCAGUGUUUGAUAUUGUGUAUAAUUGUCAAUAAAGUUGAUUCAAAAUUAAUCAAUGUUUGGACUAGAGACUUCGGACUAAAGACAGGAAGCAGAGCUGGAGGGUUACUUGAAUUCUGAACUGGAGCCAAAAGCGCGGAAGUGAUACAAUUUGUUUUUGGAUUGUGGGACAAAGCCAGAGGGUCCAGAGUGAAGCCACAAAUUCUCAGAAGAACAUGUCAUUUCCACAAAGACCUGUGAGGUUUCCAGAAAACAAAGGCUGUCACUCCCAUGUCAUUUUCUGAUAGCUGUGGGAGGAGUACAUUUAAUAAUGAGCUUACCAGAAAAAUCACUCAGUUCUUCUAGAAGUCAGAAGAAGCUCAACUCAAGAUGACAAAGAAACUACAGUGUUUGAUAUUUGUUCUUGGAUAUUUUCUAGCCUGCAAUGGACAAAGUAAGUGCAUAUAUAAUGAGUUAAGAAUUAUACGGUUUUUCUUGAUACAUUUAAUGAGAUUAUCGUUUUAACUCUUUAAAGAUGGUUAAAUGAGGUAAAAAUUAGGGUUUGGCAAA